AUACGUAGGUGGCAAGCGUUGUCCGGAAUUAUUGGGCGUAAAGCGCAUGUAGGCGGUAAUUUAAGUCUGUCGUGAAACUGCGGGGCUCAGCCCCGUAUGGCGAUGGAAACUGGGUUACUUGAGUGCAGGAGAGGAAAGGGGAACUCCCAGUGUAGCGGUGAAAUGCGUAGAUAUUGGGAAGAACACCGGUGGCGAAGGCGCCUUUCUGGACUGUGUCUGACACUGAGAUGCGAAAGCCAGGGUAGCGAACGGGAUUAGAUACCCCGGUAGUCCUGGCCGUAAACGAUGGGUACUAGGUGUGGGAGGUAUCGACCCCUUCCGUGCCGGAGUUAACGCAAUAAGUACCCCGCCUGGGGAGUACGGCCGCAAGGCUUAAACUCAAAGGAAUUGACGGGG
rnacentral:rRNA from 1 species